rnacentral:rRNA from 1 species
GACGACGCUGGCGGCGUGCCUAAUACAUGCAAGUAGGACGAGUUGCGAACGCGUGAGUAACGCGUGGUAACCUGCCUAUUAGAGGGGGAUAACUAUUGGUAACGAUAGCUAAUUCCGCAUACUAGUAGCUGGACCUUGGUUUUAUUAGCUAGUAGGUAGGGUAAUGGCCUACCUAGGCGACGAUACAUAGCCGACCUGAGAGGGGGACCAGCCACACUGGAACUGAGACACGGUCCAGACUCCUACGGGAGGCAGCAGUGGGGAAUAUUGCACAAUGGGCGAAAGCCUGAUGCAGCCAUGCCGCGUGUAUGAAGAAGGCCUUCGGAUUGUAAAGUACUUUCAGCGGGGAGGCGUUACCCGCAGAAGAAGCACCGGCUAACUCCGUGCCAGCAGCCGCGGUAAUAC